rnacentral:rRNA from 1 species
UGAUGACGGCCUUCGGGUUGUAAAACUCUGUCUUCUGCGAUGAACAAGCCUGUGAGUGAAAAGCUCAAGCCCUGACGGUAUGAAGGAGGAAGCCCCGGCUAACUACGUGCCACCAGCCGGGGUAAUACUUGGGGGGCAAGCGUUGUCCGGAUUCUCUGGGCGUAAAGCGCGCCCAGGCGGUUCUCUGCGUCCGGGGUGAAAACCCAGAGCUCAACUCUGGGACUGCCUUGGAUACGGGGUGACUUGAGGAUCGGAGAGGCAAGGGGAAUUCCACGUGUAGCGGUGAAAUGCGUAGAGAUGUGGAGGAACACCUGUGGCGAAGGCGCCUUGCUGGCCGAUUUCUGACGCUGAGGCGCGAAAGCGUGGGGAGCAAACAGGAUUAGAUACCCUGGUAGUCCACGCCGUAAACGAUGAGUGCUAGGUGUUGGGGGGUACCACCCUCAGUGCCGAAGCUAACGCAUUAAGCACUCCGCCUGGGGAGUACGGUCGCAAGACUGAAACUCAAAGGAAUUGACG